AUGCUCACUUCGGCAGCAUGUACUCUAAAAUCGGUAUGAUACAGAGAAGAUUAGUAUGACCCCCGCAGCAAGGAUGACAAGAAAAUUUAGAAAGCAUUCCAUAUUUUU